CUUUAUCACUUCUUCAGAGAAGGAAAAUAAGAAAUAUAAUUUAUACAUACAAAGACACGUUCAGGGUUAAAAUCCUGGAACAAUGAGAUACAGUGAACCCCCAUGGUAGGUAGGUAGGUAGGUAGGUAGGUAGGUAGGUAGGUGGGUAGGUGGGUAGGUGGGUAGGUGGGUGGGUAGGUAGGUAGGUAGGUAGGUAGGUGGGUAGGUGGGUAGGUGGGUAGGUAGGUAGGUCGGUAGGUAGGUAGGUAGGUAGGUAUGUGGGUAGGUAGGUAGGUAGGUAGGUAGGUAGGUAGGUAGGUAGGUGGGUAGGUGGGUAGGUGGGUAGGUAGGUAGGUAGGUAGGAUCUCUCUUUCGCCUAUCGUGGGUUGGUCAGGAACAUGUUACCCAAUAAACGGGGGUUCCCUGUAUCAUGAACGAAUGACAAAGUAAAACUCACAAUCAUGUCAUG